rnacentral:rRNA from 1 species
UUAAGCGACUAAGCGUACACGGUGGAUGCCCUGGCAGUCAGAGGCGAUGAAGGACGUGCUAAUCUGCGAUAAGCGUCGGUAAGGUGAUAUGAACCGUUAUAACCGGCGAUUUCCGAAUGGGGAAACCCAGUGUGUUUCGACACACUAUCAUUAACUGAAUCCAUAGGUUAAUGAGGCGAACCGGGGGAACUGAAACAUCUAAGUACCCCGAGGAAAAGAAAUCAACCGAGAUUCCCCCAGUAGCGGCGAGCGAACGGGGAGCAGCCCAGAGCCUGAAUCAGUGUGUGUGUUAGUGGAAGCGUCUGGAAAGGCGCGCGAUACAGGGUGACAGCCCCGUACACAAAAAUGCACAUGCUGUGAGCUCGAUGAGUAGGGCGGGACACGUGGUAUCCUGUCUGAAUAUGGGGGGACCAUCCUCCAAGGCUAAAUACUCCUGACUGACCGAUAGUGAACCAGUACCGUGAGGGAAAGGCGAAAAGAACCCCGGCGAGGGGAGUGAAAAAGAACCUGAAACCGUGUACGUACAAGCAGUGGGAGCACGCUUAGGCGUGUGACUGCGUACCUUUUGUAUAAUGGGUCAGCGACUUAUAUUCUGUAGCAAGGUUAACCGAAUAGGGGAGCCGAAGGGAAACCGAGUCUUAACUGGGCGUUAAGUUGCAGGGUAUAGACCCGAAACCCGGUGAUCUAGCCAUGGGCAGGUUGAAGGUUGGGUAACACUAACUGGAGGACCGAACCGACUAAUGUUGAAAAAUUAGCGGAUGACUUGUGGCUGGGGGUGAAAGGCCAAUCAAACCGGGAGAUAGCUGGUUCUCCCCGAAAGCUAUUUAGGUAGCGCCUCGUGAAUUCAUCUCCGGGGGUAGAGCACUGUUUCGGCAAGGGGGUCAUCCCGACUUACCAACCCGAUGCAAACUGCGAAUACCGGAGAAUGUUAUCACGGGAGACACACGGCGGGUGCUAACGUCCGUCGUGAAGAGGGAAACAACCUAGACCGCCAGCUAAGGUCCCAAAGUCAUGGUUAAGUGGGAAACGAUGUGGGAAGGCCCAGACAGCCAGGAUGUUGGCUUAGAAGCAGCCAUCAUUUAAAGAAAGCGUAAUAGCUCACUGGUCGAGUCGGCCUGCGCGGAAGAUGUAACGGGGCUAAACCAUGCACCGAAGCUGCGGCAGCGACACUAUGUGUUGUUGGGUAGGGGAGCGUUCUGUAAGCCUGUGAAGGUGUGCUGUGAGGCAUGCUGGAGGUAUCAGAAGUGCGAAUGCUGACAUAAGUAACGAUAAAGCGGGUGAAAAGCCCGCUCGCCGGAAGACCAAGGGUUCCUGUCCAACGUUAAUCGGGGCAGGGUGAGUCGACCCCUAAGGCGAGGCCGAAAGGCGUAGUCGAUGGGAAACAGGUUAAUAUUCCUGUACUUGGUGUUACUGCGAAGGGGGGACGGAGAAGGCUAUGUUGGCCGGGCGACGGUUGUCCCGGUUUAAGCGUGUAGGCUGGUUUUCCAGGCAAAUCCGGAAAAUCAAGGCUGAGGCGUGAUGACGAGGCACUACGGUGCUGAAGCAACAAAUGCCCUGCUUCCAGGAAAAGCCUCUAAGCAUCAGGUAACAUCAAAUCGUACCCCAAACCGACACAGGUGGUCAGGUAGAGAAUACCAAGGCGCUUGAGAGAACUCGGGUGAAGGAACUAGGCAAAAUGGUGCCGUAACUUCGGGAGAAGGCACGCUGAUAUGUAGGUGAGGUCCCUCGCGGAUGGAGCUGAAAUCAGUCGAAGAUACCAGCUGGCUGCAACUGUUUAUUAAAAACACAGCACUGUGCAAACACGAAAGUGGACGUAUACGGUGUGACGCCUGCCCGGUGCCGGAAGGUUAAUUGAUGGGGUUAGCGCAAGCGAAGCUCUUGAUCGAAGCCCCGGUAAACGGCGGCCGUAACUAUAACGGUCCUAAGGUAGCGAAAUUCCUUGUCGGGUAAGUUCCGACCUGCACGAAUGGCGUAAUGAUGGCCAGGCUGUCUCCACCCGAGACUCAGUGAAAUUGAACUCGCUGUGAAGAUGCAGUGUACCCGCGGCAAGACGGAAAGACCCCGUGAACCUUUACUAUAGCUUGACACUGAACAUUGAGCCUUGAUGUGUAGGAUAGGUGGGAGGCUUAGAAGUGUGGACGCCAGUCUGCAUGGAGCCGACCUUGAAAUACCACCCUUUAAUGUUUGAUGUUCUAACGUUGACCCGUAAUCCGGGUUGCGGACAGUGUCUGGUGGGUAGUUUGACUGGGGCGGUCUCCUCCUAAAGAGUAACGGAGGAGCACGAAGGUUGGCUAAUCCUGGUCGGACAUCAGGAGGUUAGUGCAAUGGCAUAAGCCAGCUUGACUGCGAGCGUGACGGCGCGAGCAGGUGCGAAAGCAGGUCAUAGUGAUCCGGUGGUUCUGAAUGGAAGGGCCAUCGCUCAACGGAUAAAAGGUACUCCGGGGAUAACAGGCUGAUACCGCCCAAGAGUUCAUAUCGACGGCGGUGUUUGGCACCUCGAUGUCGGCUCAUCACAUCCUGGGGCUGAAGUAGGUCCCAAGGGUAUGGCUGUUCGCCAUUUAAAGUGGUACGCGAGCUGGGUUUAGAACGUCGUGAGACAGUUCGGUCCCUAUCUGCCGUGGGCGCUGGAGAACUGAGGGGGGCUGCUCCUAGUACGAGAGGACCGGAGUGGACGCAUCACUGGUGUUCGGGUUGUCAUGCCAAUGGCACUGCCCGGUAGCUAAAUGCGGAAGAGAUAAGUGCUGAAAGCAUCUAAGCACGAAACUUGCCCCGAGAUGAGUUCUCCCUGACCCUUUAAGGGUCCUGAAGGAACGUUGAAGACGACGACGUUGAUAGGCCGGGUGUGUAAGCGCAGCGAUGCGUUGAGCUAACCGGUACUAAUGAACCGUGAGGCUUAACCUU